CAGCGAUCGACCCUGCACUCGUGAGGGCUCGCCCGGAAGUCUGUGGCGCGGCCCCCGCUCCGGCCCGGCGGGACGAGGGGAGGCGUGAGCUCCUCUCAGUGUGGCCGUUCUCGGGGAAAGCGGGAGUCGUUUCGCCCUGCGAAAUGUGGCGACACGGAGCCCGGAAUUUGUACCGAAAUAAGCGGCUCGGUGAACCGCAGCAGUUCUGAGCCCUGAACAGAGAAAUGAAAUACUCUCGUAACACAACAUUCCUUUACAUCAGAGAGAUACAUUGUGGCAGUUGCUUUAAACAAAACGUAAAUUUGGAGAAAGUGCAAGUGUAGAUCUAAUUGGAACAUUCACACACAGAACAUUCUCAUGGUUUUUCUAGAAACCAGUAAGAUGUAACCAGAGACCUCCGGAUGGUAAAUUUUCUGAUGAAAACUACAAGGAAAAAAAUACUUUUUUGUCUUUUUAGAGAUCUCUUGAGUUCCAAUGUUAAGAAAUGACUACAAACAUCUUUAUUAAUGCUUUUAUUAAAUGUCAAAAACAAAAAAGUAUAACCUAGAAUCUCAAGAUAUAAAUAGCAGUUGCUGAGAACCUACCAUUAACUCUGCCUCUAAACAGCCAUUUAAAAAGACUAAUAACUGUAAUGAUAUGACAUUUUUGAAGUGAAAGAACCCCAGUAAUUAUAAACCUCAAACAAGUCUAGCAAGUUAAUAUUAAUUUUGUUCAUAUGAAAUAUGUUCAACAUGAUAAUAAAAACUUGUAUUUAAAUUAUUGAUUUUCCUUUGAACAUUUGUUAAGAAUUUAUCACAUCUUGAGUCUGAACGGUAAGAAAUACAAUGUUCUUACAUUGGAGAUUAUAUUUCAAGGCACAAAGGCAACACCCAGGCUAAAUUUUUUUUUAAUUGCUUACUAUGUCAAUAAAAGAAAAGACAUCAAUACCAUAAAGUUUUGAAAGUCAGAAUCAGAUGAAGAACAAAGCAGUCUUUACUCAAAAUUUACCAUGCCAGUCUUCCUUUGUGAGUAGUUAUAAAGCUUUCCUCCUUGCCUAUUGGUUCCAUCUCUAAGCCAAUAGGAAAAGUACAAC
ensembl:lncRNA